rnacentral:rRNA from 1 species
UACCCGCAGCACAAGUGUUGGUCAUUAUUAUUGGGCUUAAAGCGUCCGUAGCUGGCCUUUUAGAUGCCUGGGUAAAUCGAUGCGCUCAACGUAUCGAACUCCGGGUAGACCGGCAGGCUUGGGACCGGGAGAGAUGUGAGCUACUCGAGGGGUAGGGGUAAAAUCCUGUAAUCCUUCGGGGAGGACCAGUGGCGAAGGCGUCACAUUAGAACGGCUCCGACAGUGAGGGACGAAGCCCUGGGGCGCAAACAGG